GUGCAAGGUACUGGACUGUUGCAUUCUUUUACCCACAGAACAGGUACAGCAUGACAACAAUAGUGUAAGUUUCCUCCAUGCUCUUCUCUGCCAAUGGGUCUCACCAAUGCCCAGGAUGGACCUUAAAGGAGGUGGAGGGAUUCAUUCUCCAUAAGCUAAUCAAUCAAUGACCUGU
rnacentral:sRNA from 1 species